AUUGAACGCUGGCGGCAUGCUUUACACAUGCAAGUCGAACGGUAACAGGCCUUCGGGUGCUGACGAGUGGCGAACGGGUGAGUAAUGCAUCGGAACGUGCCCAGAGGUGGGGGAUAACGCAGCGAAAGCUGUGCUAAUACCGCAUGUGAUCUGAGGAUGAAAGCGGGGGACCAGGCAGCAAUGUUUGGCCUCGCGCCUUUGGAGCGGCCGAUGUCAGAUUAGGUAGUUGGUGGGGUAAAGGCCUACCAAGCCGACGAUCUGUAGCUGGUCUGAGAGGACGACGGCCAAAACGGGGACGGAGACCGGCCCAAGACACGACGGGGGGCAGGAGGGGGGGAUUUUGGAAAAGGGGGGCAAGCCUUAACCAGGAAUUGCCCGGGGCGGAAGGAGGCCUUGGGGUUGUAAACCCGUUUUGGAAGGAACAAAAAGGGUCCGGCUAAUAACGGGGGGUGAGGACCGGACCCAAAAAAAAAGCCACGGCCAAAUACG
rnacentral:rRNA from 1 species